rnacentral:rRNA from 1 species
UACAGAGGGUGCAAGCGUUGUUCGGAAUUAUUGGGCGUAAAGCGCGUGUAGGCGGCCUUGCAAGUCGGGUGUGAAAGCCCUCAGCUUAACUGAGGAAGUGCGCCCGAAACUGCUUGGCUUGAGUACCGGAGAGGAUGGCGGAAUUCCCCAAGUAGAGGUGAAAUUCGUAGAUAUGGGGAGGAACACCGGUGGCGAAGGCGGCCAUCUGGACGGAUACUGACGCUGAGACGCGAAAGCGUGGGUAGCAAACAGG